rnacentral:rRNA from 1 species
UACGAGGGGUCCUAGCGUUGUUCGGAAUCAUUGGGCGUAAAGGGUGUGUAGGUGGCUAUGUAAGUCAGGUGUGAAAAGCCCCCGGGCUCAACCCGGGAAGUGCAUCUGAUACUGCGUAGCUUGAGUACCGAAGAGGAUAGUGGAAUUCCAGGUGUAGUGGUGAAAAUACGUAGAUAUCUGGAGGAACACCGGUGGCGAAGGCGGCUAUCUGGUCGAGUACUGACACUGAGACACGAAAAGCAUGGGGAUCAAAACAGG